rnacentral:rRNA from 1 species
AGAGUUUGAUCCUGGCUCAGGACGAACGCUGGCGGCGUGCUUAACACAUGCAAGUCGAGCGCUGAUGCCUGCUUUUGGGUGGGUGGAUGAGCGGCGAACGGGUGAGUAACACGUGGGUAAUCUGCCCUCGAUUCUGGGAUAGCCCGGGGAAACCCGGAUUAAUACCGGAUAGCCUCUCGAGCUUACGAGCUCGUGAGAAAAGGUAGCUUCGGCCUCCGAUCGAGGAUGAGCCCGCGGCGGAUUAGCUUGUUGGUGGGGUAAUGGCCUACCAAGGCGACGAUCAGUAGCUGGUCUGAGAGGAUGAUCAGCCUCACUGGGACUGAGACACGGCCCAGACUCCUACGGGAGGCAGCAGUGGGGAAUAUUGGACAAUGGGCGCAAGCCUGAUCCAGCCAUGCCGCGUGGGUGAUGAAGGCCCUAGGGUUGUAAAGCUCUUUCAACGGUGAAGAUAAUGACGGUAACCGUAGAAGAAGCCCCGGCUAACUUCGUGCCAGCAGCCGCGGUAAUACGAAGGGGGCUAGCGUUGUUCGGAAUUACUGGGCGUAAAGGGCGCGUAGGCGGCGGUUCAAGUCGGGGGUGAAAGCCUGUGGCUCAACCACA